rnacentral:rRNA from 1 species
CCUACGGGAGGCUGCAGUAGGGAAUCUUCGGCAAUGGACGAAAGUCUGACCGAGCAACGCCGCGUGAGUGGAGAAGGUUUUCGGAUCGUAAAACUCUGUUGUUAGAGAAGAACGUUAAGUAGAGUGGAAAAUUACUUAAGUGACGGUAUCUAACCAGAAAGGGACGGCUAAAUACGUGCCAGCAGCCGCGGUAAUUCGUAGGUCCCAAGCGGUGUCCGGAUGUAUUGGGCGUAAAUCGAGUGCAGGUGGUUGCUUAAGUCUGGUGUAAAAGGCCAUAGCUCAACCAUUGUGUGCAUUGGAAACUGGUGGACUGGAGUGCAGGAGAGGAGGGUGGAAUUCCAUGUGUAGCGGUGAAAUGCGUAGAUAUAUGGAGGAACACCGGUGGCGAAAGCGGCUCUCUGGCCUGUAACUGACACUGAGGCUCGAAAGCGUGGGGAGCAAACAGGAUUAGAUACCCGGGUAGUC